rnacentral:lncRNA from 1 species
GCGUUUCUUGUAAAUUUCAACGAGCUCUUUGGGAUCACGUCUGGUCUUAUUGAAACCUUCAUUUUUGUUCAUCUCAUACAAAAUUGAUAUAUAGUCCCAUGAGUAGUGCUUUCAGUGGAUUUGAGAUGAAUCUUUUGCAUUGCAAGUGACACAUGCUAUUGCGGGAUUCAUAUCUUUAAGAUUUAUAAUGCCAAUGCGUACAGGAAGAUCACUUAAAUAAUAUUGUACCUCAAUCCAUGCUGCUAGUUUAGGUGUCCCUGCAGUGAUGUCAUACUUCUUGACAUCCAAUGCAAAAUGCUGAAAUCUUAUCAAUGAAUGGUGCAUAAGCAAUGUCCACCUGAUAGAUAAGAACAACAUUUGAAACUAUCCAUAUGAUAGAGCAACUAAAGCCAUGAAAGAUAUUUUAUUUAGAUCAGUAGUGUUAACCAUAGCCUCUGCCCACUUUAGUUGAAUGAAGUUGUGGAAAUUCCGAGCGACUUGUCGUUAGUACGUAGCUCUCCAGAUUACCCCAACGUAUAGGCAGGGAAACUCCCUGCUGCAUGACUUUGAUCUUGUAUAUAGUUUAAGUCUUGGUCAAUCUGUAAUGUGUAGUAGAGUGCUACAGUCCAAUUCCACAAACCCAAUAAAUUAAGCUCCGGUCUCUGUACGUAAUUGAGUAAUUAAGUCUAGCUAGUCUCUGUAUUCUGUAAAGUUGGAAACGAUCACGUCAAGAAACUCCAUUAAUUAAAAGCAUAUAGACUUUGGUACUGUGAAUCUGGAAUGCGCUGGUCUUUUCUGAUCUCUCUCCAUGGGAACAACUGGGAUUAGGAGCCUGUCCCUGCAGUGUGCUUGGGUUUCAAUUGUAACCUUUUUGGUUCUUGGCUCAUCUGGUCAUAAAGAUAAGUGUGUCCCUUCUUCUUGCGGCGACAUCCACAACAUAAGCUACCCAUUUCGACUACAGCAUGAUCCAGAGCACUGUGGCGACUUAAACCACACUUUGGAAUGUGACCACAACAACAUCACAGUGCUGCGCCUAUUUUCUCAAGAGUACUACGUCAAGGUCAUUGACUACAACUACGACAACAGCACAAUCCGUGUGGUGGAUCCUGGCCUUGAGAAGAACAACUGCUCUUCCCUUCCUCGUUUUCCUCUGGGCCUAUCGAGCUUCAGACCUUAUUAUCAUAGAUACCCUUCUUGGCAACCAUACGCAGAUCCAGUAAUUUUCUUGAAAUGUGCAAAUCCAGUGAAUUCUUCUUUGUAUGUGAGCACGGCUCCCUGUAUUAACUCCGAAAUGUAUGGUUAUGCCGUUCGAGGCAGAAUCUACCCCGAAGAUGUGGAGAAUGGGUGCACUGUAUAUUGGAUGGGUCUGACCACUUGGAUGCCCUUCGAGGAGGACGGAAACGUUUCCUAUCAAGAUAUACACGAUCAAAUGGUGUACGGCUUCGAGCUUGUGUAUGCUGACUAUUGCCACGGUCAAUGGAAUAUGCCUUUUCACGGCUCACCUUUUCACAGUUCAACAUGUUAUCCGCGCAGCAUACGAGGUAUAUACUGUCGAUCGAGUACGCCAUGAUUUCUCUAUUUUGAUUUUACGAAUAACUGUGCUAAUUAGUUAUGUACAUUCUUUGUCAUGCACUCUAGGUUUCUUUCUUAUUGGUUGGGCGGCGUUCACCGGUAAGUGUCAUUUCUCUCAACGUACUUUCUAUACAUCCACUAAUUUAUUGUCAACGAGAUCGAUGGUUGUCUCUCAUAUUACAUAUAUGGCCUUGCACUUUCAAGACUUAAUAUACAGGCCAAGCACCUAAUUAAUUAUGUAGAAUUUGUGCUGCAAUUAAACCCAGCUCCUUCAAAUCUUUUGCAGCUUAUUGGGAUAUCGAGAGUAUUAUCGCUGGCAGUGUUGUAGGGGGAAAAAUUAUAUUUGGAGGUCCAUUUGUGAUCGCACUUCUGAUAUAUAAGUGGCGAAGAAGGCAUUGGUCAACCUACAGCACAAUAGAAGACUUUCUGCAUUCUGACAAUUUCAUGCCUAUAAGGUACUCCUACUCCAACAUUAAGAAAAUGUCAGCUGGAUUCAAAGAUAAGUUAGGCGUAGGGGGUUAUGGUUCUGUAUUUAAAUGCAAAUUACGGAGUGGCCACUUUGGAGCCAUUAAGUUGUUAGACAAGUCUAACGCUAAUGGGGAAGAUUUCAUGAGUGAAGUAGCUACUAUUGGAAGGAUUCACCAUGUCAAUGUGGUGCAGCUUGUUGGUUACUGUGUCGAGGGUUCAAAGCGCGCCUUAGUAUAUGAUUUCAUGCCAAAUGGUUCUCUUGAUAGAUACAUUUACUCCAAAGAAGAAUCCAUCACUUUAAGUUACAAGAAAAUGUAUGAGAUUGCAGUUGGAGUCGCUCAAGGUAUUGAAUAUUUGCAUCAAGGUUGUGAAAUGCAAAUUUUGCAUUUUGAUAUCAAGCCUCAUAAUAUCCUACUUGAUGAGAAUUUUGUCCCAAAGAUUUCUGACUUUGGGCUAGCGAAACUAUAUCCAGCAAACAAUAGCAUUGUCUCAUCAAUGGCAGCAAGAGGCACCAUGGGAUACAUUGCUCCUGAGUUGUUUUAUAAAAACAUUGGUGGUGUUUCGUACAAAGCUGAUGUUUAUAGUUUUGGAAUGUUGUUGAUGGAAAUGGCAAGCAGAAGGAAAAAUCUUAAUGCAUAUGUAGAUCACUCUAGCCAAAUUUACUUCCCCUCAUGGGUGCAUGAUCAAUAUAAUGAGGGGAAGGACUUGGAGAUUGGGGAUGCUACAGCAGAGGAGAAGAAAUUAAUUAGAAAAAUGAUAGUAGUUGCCUUGUGGUGUAUUCAAAUGAAACCAAGUGAUCGACCUUCAAUGAAGAGAGUUACACAGAUGCUCGUAGGAGAUGUUGAGAACCUAGAAAUGCCACCAAAGCCUUCUCUAUGCCCACAACCGACGCCUGUAAGCAAUCUGAUUCCAACAUGUUCAAAUGUGGAGCAAACAUGUACUCUUUCUGCUAGGUGAUGAUAGCUGGCUACCAUUCAUUCACUCUACUUCGUGUAGCUUAUGAAAUUUCAGAUUGUCUUAGAAUUGUAGAUUAUUGUAGUUUUAAAGAUGAACUGCCAAGAAAGUUGAAAUAUUGUACUCCGUCAUUACUUUGCUGCCUCAUGGUUUAUGUAUAAAUGUGCCUUGUAACUUUCAUAUUUACUUUCCAUACCCUAUGGUUUCUGAAGAAGUAUUUCUUUACAGAUUUCUCAACCUAAUAGUUUCAAAGCUCAAAGCCUCCAAACAAAGGCCUAAUUUGGAUUUGUUUACGGUCUUACAGAUAAAUAGACUGAAAAUUAAAGAUUGUUCCACAAAACUUAUUUAAGUUUAUAUCGAUGAAAAAGGCUUAUUUAGACCUUCUUACAUUAUUGGUAGAAUGAAAAUGUUACGAGGAAUGAGUGAGGGGGGUUUAGACUUUUGGAAAGAUGAUUUCAACAAUGGAACUUCUGAUUCUGAUAUACAAAUAAUAAGCUGCAGAUACAAGGUAUCAGUCCUCGGCAAUGUCUGGCUAUAUGACAUGGUUCACCAUAUUCCCAGAAGCAUUAUUAGUGCUUUACAGCGGCAUACAAAGAUACGAGAAAUGGAAGCCAAAUUUGGAACAUCAAGCAACCCUUCCAACUUGUUUCUGCACAUUCAGGGCUGAGGCUGCAUAAUCAAUGCAUUUAAGACUUAAGUACAAGUAUUGGCAGCAACUUAUUUAGAACUCACUCUUAAGAUGAAGCAAGAAGAAACUAACCGAAAAGCGUUUCUUGUAGAUUUCAACGAGCUCUUUGGGAUCACGUCUGGUCUUAUUGAAACCUUCAUUUUUGUUCAUCUCCUACAAAAUUGAUAUAUCCAUGAGUAGUGCUUUCAGGGGAUUUGAGAUGAAUCUUUUGCAUUGCAAGUGACGCAUACUAUUGCAGGAUUCAUAUCUUUAAGAUUUAGAAUGCCAAUGCGUACAGGAAGAUCACUUAAAUCAUAUUGUACCUCAAUCCAUGCUGCUAGUUUAGGUCUCCCUGCAGUGAUGUCAUACUUCUUGACAUCCAAUGCAAAAUGCUGAAAUCUAUCAAUGAAUGGUGCAUAAGCAAUGUCCACCUGAAAGAUAAGAUCAACAUUUGAAACUUUCCAUAUGAUAGAGCGACUUUUGAUAAGUUCAGUAGACAGGUUUUCAUUGCCUAUACGGCGCAAGACAUAUGGGAACUGAAACGGUUAUUACUAGAAAGCAUAUUACCAGACUGAAUUGGCCAAGAAAGAAAG